GGAUAACUACCCUUUAGGACUGGGAUAACCCUGGGAAACUGGGGCUAAUACUGGAUAGGCAAUUAUUCCUGCAAUGGUUUUUUGUUUAAAUGUUUUUUCGCCUAAGGAUGGGUCUGCGGCCGAUUAGGUAGUUGGUUAGGUAAUGGCUUACCAAGCCGUUGAUCGGUACGGGUUGUGAGAGCAAGAGCCCGGAGAUGGAACCUGAGACAAGGUUCCAGGCCCUACGGGGUGCAGCAGGCGCGAAACCUCCGCAAUGUGAGAAAUCGCGACGGGGGGAUCCCAAGUGCCAUUCUUAACGGGAUGGCUUUUCAUUAGUGUAAAGAGCUUUUGGAAUAAGAGCUGGGCAAGACCGGUGCCAGCCGCCGCGGUAACACCGGCAGCUCUAGUGGUAACAAUUUUUAUUGGGCCUAAAGCGUCCGUAGCCGGUUUAAUAAGUCUCUGGUGAAAUCCUGUAGCUUAACUGUGGGAAUUGCUGGAGAUACUAUUAGACUUGAGACCGGGAGAGGUUAGAGGUACUCCCAGGGUAGAGGUGAAAUUCUGUAAUCCUGGGAGGACCGCCUGUUGCGAAGGCGUCUAACUGGAACGGUUCUGACGGUGAGGGACGAAAGUUAGGGGCGCGAACCGGAUUAGAUACCCGGGUAGUCCUAACUGUAAACGAUGCGGACUUGGUGUUGGGGUGGCUUUGAGCUGCUCCAGUGCCGAAGGGAAGCUGUUAAGUCCGCCGCCUGGGAAGUACGGUCGCAAGACUGAAACUUAA
rnacentral:rRNA from 1 species